rnacentral:rRNA from 1 species
UGCGUAGGCGGUCUUUCAAGUCCUUGUUUAAAUGUCACGGCUUAACCGUGAAAUUAGCAAGGAUACUGAUUGACUUUGAGGAUUGUUCGGGGUACUGGAACAGUUGGUGUAGCGGUGAAAUGCGUUGAUAUCAACUGGAACACCGAAGGCGAAGGCAAGUACCUGGGAUUCUCCUGACGCUGAGGCACGAAAGCUAGGGUAGCGAAACAGAUUAGAGACCUGUGUAGUCCUAGCCGUAAACUAUCCCCGCUAGAUUCCGGUCGUAAGAUCGGAGUCGAAGUUAACACAUUAAGCGGGGCGCCUGGGGAGUACGGCCGCAGGCUAAA